rfam:Triticum aestivum genome assembly, contig: Triticum_aestivum_CS42_TGACv1_scaffold_211594_3AS
CUUAUACUCCCCCUGUUCCAAAUUAGUUGACUUGAAUUUGUCUAAAUACGGAUGUAUCUAUACUUUUUUAGUGUUUAGAUACAUCAGUGUCUACAUAAAUAUGAGUCCAGUAAUUUGGAAUGGGGGGAGUAUUUA